rnacentral:rRNA from 1 species
UGGGGAAUUUUGCACAAUGGGGGCAACCCUGAUGCAGCGACUCCGCGUGAUUUAGAAGGCCUUCGGGUUGUAAAAAUCUUUUGUAUAGGAAGAAAAUGACAGUACUAUACGAAUAAGGUCCGGCUAAUUACGUGCCAGCAGCCGCGGUAAUACGUAAGGACCGAGCGUUGUCCGGAAUCAUUGGGCGUAAAGGGUACGUAGGCGGUUAAAAAAGUUAGAAGUGAAAGGCUAUAGCUAAACUAUAGUAAGCUUUUAAAACUGUUUAACUUGAGAGAUGGAAGGGAGAGGGGAAUUCCUAGUGUAGCGGUGAAAUGCGCAGAUAUUAGGAGGAAUACCGGUGGCGAAGGCGACUAUCAGGCCAUUAUCUGACGCUAAGGUACGAAAGCGUGGGUAGCAAACAGG